UUAAAAGAAUUUUUUGGUUUUUUGUGAAUCUAUGGGGCAGAACUCGGGGGUCUCUGCCCCACAUCAACCUCUCUGCCCCAUAGCGGCUCCUCAGCCCCACAGAAACCCCAAAUUUGGGGCAAAAACGACCAAAAUACCCAUUUUUGAGGUAUUUUUGAGCUUUUUUAGGAAUUUUUGGGGUGUUUCUGUGAAUCUAUGGGGCAGAACUCAGGGAUCUCUGCCCC